rnacentral:lncRNA from 1 species
GACCCUCUGUGUGCACAGCCUGGCCACCUUUGAAGCACCUUUAUCUCUUGCUCUUUUAGGCUCUGGCUCUUAGGUUCCCUGGACUUCUCCACACAUCUCCUUCAUCCAGUGUGAUCCUCCCUACGGGUCUCUUCGCUGCAGCUCAGGUCUGAUCUAGGAAGAAGAGUGGGCUUAAUUGGAAGACGGGAUGAGGGUAUAAAGAGGAGACUUGGGGGACCUGGGCUCUUCUUUCUUUGGCCUCCUUAUGCCCAGAAUCUCUCCCUUUUCUGUUUCCUCUGCUCAAGCUGUGUGUUGGUUUCCCAUCUCUUCUGACUGCAUCUGAUUGACUGGCCUUUCCUUCUUCCUUCCUUAUUUUGUUCUCUGUUCUCCCUCCCCUGCUGUUUUUGCUAUUGGUAACCAACUCUUCAUCCUCAGCACAGGGCCCAUGCUCUGGUUGCCUAGCUCAGUGGUCAGAACACAGAGGGCUGUUGAACAGGAGUCUGGCCACACAUGAGUGUGUCUGUAGGUGGGGUUGAGGGGAGACUCAAAGAGAUGUCUUCCAAUCCCAUUGUCUUUCAGACCUACAUUCCUAAAGCUACCCCGAGCAGCCCAGCUGUGGCAGAGUAUCUCGGGAACUAGCUUGGCUUAGCUGGAGCGGACUCACUCACUCUUUUUUCUACCCCCAGGCCCGCCAGUGAUUUAGUUCCUGAUCCUUCCAAAAUCUGGUCCCCCUGUUGUCUGCUUUCUCUUGAGAUGGCUUGCCACACCUAGGGCCAAACUCUAUCUUCCAGCAGCUGCAGAGGUCAAAAGCCUUGCAAAUGGAAGUCACAGAGGGGACGUGAAGGAAGAAAUGAAUACUGCAGACCAGGGGAGACCUGCCUGGGAUGGGAUCUAAGGGGACAUUACUACAUCUGCUGAGGGGGUCAUACCUUUGCCGACUGAAAAGUCACUGGUCAGUUCCUACACCCCAGGACUUCUGUGGCCCAGCUCUGCAUAUUAUCAGCGUAGGAUACUAACUAGCAGUGGCACCUAGGUGCUUGCUUGGUGGAUGAGCUUCAGAGUUCAGCUUGUUGACCUGGGACUCGGCGAUGUCCGCCCUCUCCUCCGCCUCAUCCAGCUCGUGCUGCACCUUGCGGAACUUGGACAGCCUCCAGCUCAUUCUCCAGCUCCCGGACCCGGGCCUCCAGCUUCUGCAGCUGCUUCUUGCCGCCCUUGAGGGCGAUCUGCUCUGCCUCGUCCAGACGGUGCUGCAAGUCCUUGAUGGUCUGCUCCAUGUUCUUCUUCAUGCGCUCCAGGUCGUCAUUGGCACGGACAGCAUCAUCCAGCUGGAUUUGAGUGUCCUGAGGAUCAGAAAAAUGAGUGGCCUCAUUGCGGCUGCGUGUCUCCGCAUCCAGGGAGGUCUGCAGGGAGUCCACCAUCCGCAGGUGGUUGCGCUUGGCCUGCUCCAUCUCCUCAUCCUUCUCUGCCAGCUUCCUUUCAAUCUCUGCCUUGAUCUGGUUGAACUCUAGCUGGGCGCGGAGGAUCUUGCCCUCCUCGUGCUCCAGGGAGGCCUGGAAAGGAUAUAGAUUUUGCAGGCAUAUAGUCAGAGACCAGGGUGGAAGCAAGGGUGUGUCUAAAAACCAUGGCACAGAGAGCAUUUGGGGAUGGUAUACAUGACUCAGUAGGAGAUGCAGUGGAAGGAAAUGAGAAAGAGUGUGCACAAGAGAAAUGAAAGCAAGCUGAAGAGAAGGGGAUGCAGACUCCCAGGGGGGCGGAGGGAGUCAGCUUUGAAGACAAAGAGGAAAAUGAAAAGUGUUGCCAAGGAAACAGAGGCAAUGAAGCAGAGAGUAAAGGAACAAAAAAAAAAAAACCACCACACACAGGCAGGCAGAGGUGGAAAGUGGAAUGAGCUGAAAUAGGAGUCUUUCUAAGGUACAGUAAAUAAAAUGUUUGUGUGAAGGAA